rnacentral:tRNA from 1 species
GGGCCUGUAGCUCAGUUCUGGUCAGAGCGCACGCCUGAUAAGCGUGAGGCCGAUGGUUCAAGUCCAUCCAGGCCCACCA